CUUGGUCAAAAUAGAUGGCACGCCACCAAUACUACAAACGAAUCUUACUGGAAAAAAUUAUGGUUUGGAACGGAACAUUGAUAAUGGACCAUAUACUUACAGCUCAAAGAUCACGUUUGCCGCCGCGGACGGUAGCAGCAGAGUCCAUAAGAUCGGUUUUAAAGUUAUUACGAAGACGCAGGCUGGAAUUACCAAAGAAAUGUAUAGCAAUUUUACAGCCGCCAAUAUGUAAACGGACCUUACGAACCCGUUCUGCAAGACAGUGGAUGGCGUUUGUUUCUUGGCUGACCAGACGCUCUACUUGGACAACUGCUGGCUGACUGUCACAAAGUCUGACCUUGACACGGCCACAGCAAUGGUAGAUGUCUCAGUCUUCAACCAGGCUAUGCUCUCAACAACAACCUCAUUCGAUAUUGGUCCAAUAAAUAAAUUACAGGCACUUGAGAAAU